GUUAAAAGUCAGACAUUCUAUAUGAGGUCCAUUAUAAGCUAUCUUUUUCCAACUGUACUGUAUAAAAAUUUAAAUCCUGAUCGAAUGUACUAAUUUUAUACUAUACCAGCUUAUUCUUUAUUCUGUAGCAUCUCGGACUUCUAUUCAAAGUGAACUUCAUCGGGAUAGGAGGCGGCCAGAGAUCACCAUUGUGGCAGCGGAGCCGCUGAGGCCAGCCUCGUGGUUUCCAGGAGGCCCACCCCCAGGCCUGGGAUUUCCCCCGACUCCUGCAGCUGGCCCUUGGAGGCCAAAUGAGCUGGUUCCUGCUGAGCUCCCACCCUCUUAUGAACAAGUCAUAAAAGAAAUCAACCAAGUUCAAGUUAAUACUACAAACAAUAAUAAUGCUGCUGCCCCUCCAAGGCACACUAUUACUUCUGCAACUCAGACGGACUUUUUAGAAGAAAUAGACAACCAUCUGCCUCAAAGUAAUGCCAAUAAUUUGUCUUCCCUAAUUCUGACCACUUCUAGGGAAGUAAUCAGUAGGCAGCCAGCCUUUAAAAUAAUUUGCAAUUUGUGCAUAAUUCAGUGAGCCCUGCUUUCCUUUCCAGUCAUUGGGAUCACUGUGGGCUUUCUUUUGGGGAUAUGCAGUGAUUAUUAUAACAGAUCAUUCUUAAGAGAUGCCCUCAUCUUUUGGGCUCACCCUCGUUCAGAUCACAGAAACUUCGUCUGUUUAACUUUCAUUGCAUAUUGCUGUGGAUGCCCUUUAUUCCCAUUGAGAAGGAUUUUUUAUUAAUAACUUGGACUUUAUAGAAUACUAAGGGUGAUUGUUAUGACUGUGGAUGCCCUUUAUUCCCAUUGAGAAGGAUUUUUUAUUAAUAACUUGGACUUUACAGAAUACUAAGGGUGAUUGUUAUGUUAGGCUUUUUAAGACUAUUUUAUUAGAGAC
ensembl:lincRNA